rnacentral:rRNA from 1 species
GUCUUUAAGAUUUUAAUUUAAAGUCUAAUCUGCCCAAUGAAUUUAUUUAAAUGGCUGCAGAAUUUUUUACUGUACAAAGGUAGCAUAAUAAUUUGUUUUUUAAUUAAAAACUAGAAUGAAAGAUUUGAUGAAAUAUAAACUGUUUCAAUAAAAUUAUUAUUAAAUUUUUUAUUUAAGUAAAAAAACUUAAAUAAAUUUUAAAGACGACAAGACCCUAUAGAAUUUUAUUUUUUAAAUUUUUUAUAAAAAUUUAAAAAAUUUUAUUGGGGUAAUAAAAAAAUUAAAUUAAUUUUUUUUAAAAUUUACAUUUUUAAUGAAUAUUUUAUCUUAAUUUUUAAAUUAAAAAAAUUAAUUACCUUAGGGAUAACAGCAUAAUUUUUUUUAAAAGAUCUUAUUAAUAAAAAAGAUUAU